rnacentral:ncRNA from 1 species
GACACGCACGGAGGCGAUGACGCGCGGCCCCAGACCCGGCCGCCGCGACCGCGCUGAGCCACUGGCGAGCCCGACCGCGUUGGAU